CUUGAUAUAGUUCUUCAUUUUCCUCCUUCAUGAGCCGCUCAAACUUAUCCACCUAUGGAUGCGGUUGAUUUCCUCAUGGAUGAGCAGUAUUCUCUUGCAAGUCUUGCUCCAUGCCACCUAAUUCACUAACGUUAGUAUCCAUGAACUGUGUAACACCUGUAAAUGCAUCAUGUAUCAUUCCUCUCAUAUCAUCACCCCUUUGAAUUGACUAACUGCGAUUAUUUGCUUCAGCAUUAUUUCAUCCCUUUAGAGACUCACGGUGACAAAACCAAGUAUCAUAGGAUUGUAGAAUACCGUUAACCAUAAGAUGAUCAUAUGCUGUAGCCUGAUUUACUUGAUGGAUAAGCACACACUCCAUACAAGGACAUGGAAUUUUUUCUCCAUCUUGUUUUUCGGAAAAGGCAUGAUUUACAAAAUCAUAAACUCCAUCCAAAUAUUCUUUACUAACUCUUUCACAAUAUAUCCAUCUUUUAUUUGCAUGAUUGUCCAUGACGUU
rnacentral:lncRNA from 1 species